rnacentral:rRNA from 1 species
UACGUAGGGGGCAAGCGUUGUCCGGAUUUAUUGGGCGUAAAGAGCGUGUAGGCGGCCGUACAGGUCAGCUGUGAAAACUCGAGGCUCAACCUCGAGACGUCGGUUGAAACCGUACGGCUAGAGUCCGGAAGAGGAGAGUGGAAUUCCCGGUGUAGCGGUGAAAUGCGCAGAUAUCGCGAAGAACACCCGUGGCGAAGGCGGCUCUCUGGGACGGUACUGACGCUGAGACGCGAAAGCGUGGGGAGCGAACAGG